rnacentral:rRNA from 1 species
GGAUUAGAUACCCUGGUAGUCCACGCCGUAAACGAUGUCUACUUGGAGGUUGUUCCCUUGAGGAGUGGCUUUCGGAGCUAACGCGUUAAGUAGACCGCCUGGGGAGUACGGUCGCAAGAUUAAAACUCAAAUGAAUUGACGGGGGCCCGCACAAGCGGUGGAGCAUGUGGUUUAAUUCGAAGCAACGCGAAGAACCUUACCAGGUCUUGACAUCCUCGGAACUUUCUAGAGAUAGAUUGGUGCCUUCGGGAACCGAGUGACAGGUGCUGCAUGGCUGUCGUCAGCUCGUGCCG